CACCCACCUACCUACCUCUACCAACCACCACUCCAUAUCCUGACUGACAUGACCUGUGAUCCAGUGAUUGACAGGAGAGGAAAGACAGGCCAACUUUGUUAGCUGUUCGUUAGGAUAUGCUCGAGAGGACAAAAGAUUUUGCACCUCGUUAUUGUUGGACCUCUGUGUGGAAACUGCAAACGGGACGUCAUAAGAUAUAUAUUUUCCACGGGGAGAGGCGAGGAACACAGGCGCAACACAGUCUUUGUCUUUUUCCCGCCGAGUGUGGUGCAUUGUCCUCCUGCGCUUCUGUUCUAUGACUAUUGAGAAGCUGGCCAUGCUAACAGUGGCACAUUUAGCUUCAGCUCUUUGGAAGACAAGACAAAGCAGCAGUGUGGUGCAUUGCUGUCCUCCUGCCCUUGCUGGCCAAGCUGACAUUGUGAUGUAGCCUCAGUUCUUUGAGAGACAAGACAAAACAGCAGGGAAUAAUUUUAUGUCUGCAAGCCGCUGGAUGAUCAGUUUGGAGGGCAAGAUAUUUUAUGAGCCUGAGCAGAUGCACGACUUUGGCAGCACCCUUGCUGUCUUCUUUGCGUCAUACUACGUUUUCAACCUUGAGUAUCAGGAGUCAGCGUCCAUCACACUGGAGAUGAUACAGAGGUUCUUUGUGAGGAUCCAGACAUGGGAACAAAAUGCCCUGCAAAACUUGGUACAAGCCGCAAGACAGGUCGUGUCGUAAAGAGGAAGGUUACAAGCAUCAGCCCUCGGAUCACCACCUUCCUCCAGCGGCUCUCUGGAGGACUUCCAACUAGGUGGUGAUGAAGACUACGCUGACUACCAUCCUGGUAACGGAAAUCUAAAUCCCAUGUCACUUUCUAUUUCCUGAGACCCACUGAUAAUUAUUACAUUUUGUAAAUGAUUUUUGUUUUACAAUUGUAAUAGUUUAUUUAAUGUUCAUGCUGGUGGGUUUGUCCUGUUUUUAGUGGAAUGAAAAACUGUUUUCCUUAAAAAAUCAGACACAGAAAGGUGAAGGACUGUGUAGUUUUCAUGUACGCUUCUAUUUAUUUUGGUUAUUG
ensembl:lncRNA